GAACACUACACACUUUAUAAUACAUGUUAAAUGGGAUGCACAGCUUGUGGUUCAUCGUGGCAUACAACGUAAAGCAUCACCAGGAAUUUACCCGACAUCUCUGCUCGCAUGUAUCGAUCUUGUUCGUCUUUCGGGCAACUUGACUAGUGUUGGCUCUCCUAACGGCAGCGUGCUUUAGAGAAAGAUGCACCGACUCCAGCGCUAACCUCCCCCCGUUGUAAAGCUCGUUUUAUCGCCAUUACGCACGUAUAUACACGUCCCGGGGUUAGUGCGGUGGCCUGGGCUCGGGAGCACGGUCCUGUUGUCCUCGGUGCUACGAGCUAGCCAAACAGGCUCAAUGGACUUUGGAGCCGACGCGUUCUCUGUAUCGUUAGCUAGCGAAGCUGGUUCUCGCCACACAAACAUUUUCCACGCUCCAUUUUUUUUAGGGGCAAUUCCCCGGCGUCCGGCGCACAAUGAGCCACAGGGGCGAAAGGGAAAAGACACAAGCGUUUCAAAACGGUUCACGGUACCUUCCCGGGGCCUUCACCACCGCCGCGGUUUGUUGCUGAACACACGGUCCGUGUUGGGGACGUGGAGAGCUGGGACCAAAGAUGGCGUCCCCUCCAAACUUCCACUACUUUGGACACUCAUCAAGCUACUUUUCGUGUGUAGGUGGCAGCGCGCACGGUGGAUGUGCCACAGCGGCGGGGAAAUGGAGCAAACGGUCGCAGCACGGGUGUUUUUUGUUUUUUUAACGCGGACACAGCGCCCGCCGCCGGGUGAGAUGAUCGAGUUAUUGUCUGGUUUUAGGACACGAACCUCUCCACACCUCGGCAGUGCGUCCUGGCUCCGGGGACACCUCCGUCUUCAAGUGGUUCGGCUAUGAAACGUCACGCAACGUGUGCAAAAUUCUUAUCGCGAGGGUGAUGCGUGUUUUUCCCCCUCACGUCAAUGACAACAUGCAGAAAACAUGCAAAGAUGCGUGAAUACCCCAAAUCGCUCGCGCAGCACAAAUGAUCUUUGUGCAGUUUUAGGCACAAGUUGGGGACUGGUCACUUUUCAGACCCAUGAAAUAACGAAUCGAAUUGGUCAGAUCAAGAAAGGUUAUGAAAGGCCAUCAUAAAAGUUGUGAUGAUAACCUAUAGAUAAAAGUCGCCUGUCCUCCAGAUUCUGAAGUUCUUCCAGUCCAGCGUUGGAAAAUAGAUCAUGGAUUUCUUCUGUAGAGAAAUAUAUAUUUUUAAAAAACACAAGGGCUGUAGCUUGGAUUUUAAACACUGACGUCAAUAAUCAAGUCCCCCCUCUGCCAAAAAAAUGUUGACACUCAAAAUAAGGUCUAACAAUUGUUUUCAUUAUUUAUUCCUAAAAUAAUCAUCAAUACAGCUUAUAAACUCACCCACCCUAUUCUUAAAUUCCCCCAAAUGUAUCUAAGUGUCCUCUUUAGGACACUGUUGGCCCUGUUACCAAGUAUUUACUCCUUGAAAAUCGGAAUAAAUACCUUUUGUGAAAAAAUAAACACAGGUUCCAUCUCCUCGUGUGUAGAAAUUUUCUGAUAAGCACCUUCCUGGUUUUAAAAGAGUAGAAGAAAAGAUUAAACGUAUUCAAUAGUAAAAAUAAUAUAGUGAAUUCACAUUAAAUUAGGCAAACUUGUUUUUUUUAUUACUUGGAGGCUCACCCUUCUUAAACCUGAGCUGUGAGAGGUCAUAUCUCCCAUAGUCACGGAAAAGGAAGAUCCCUCCGUGUUUCAGGUAUGUAGAGAGUCGGUUCACGGCUCCUUGCAAUCUGUCAAUGAAAUAAUCAAUUAACGGGACAAUAAUAUUAAUUAAUAGGUCUGCAGAAUCUGAUGAUCUAACUAUUAAAAGACAAAAUAUAUGAUG